UCAGUGUAGUAUGUGUGAGUUUAUGUAGUAUGUGUGUGUUGGAGUGUCAGUGUAGUAUGUGUGAGCUUGUGGGUGGAGUCAAAUGGGUGUGCAUAGAACCAGUACAAAAAAAACUGCAACAAAUAAAUAAAUAAUAAAGGGGUCAAUAGCAACAAUUUGAACUGAAACCAGUUGACAUGAGAUAAGAUGGCACAUAAGCCACAAUAUAGCAAAGUAGACCUAUUGGCCUACAUUAUGUUUUCACAUCAAUUUGUUUUUGCAUCUAUGUCGAAUAUGGCAGGGGGAGCCAGGGUUUGAGGACAGAGAAACGUCAUGUUUGCUUUCUGGAUCACAAAGCUGCAGGAGGAGAGUGCUUUUGGGUAAUAGGCAAAAAUCAAGAGAGGCAGAGAUCUGCACAUCACUGGCUUACAGAGCGGACACCACCUCACCCAGAUAACGGCACGUGUCCCUCAGGCACAGAGAACCAUGGCGUUUACAGGGUUGCUGAGAGAGGAGGACAUCAGGGCUGCCGUCAAGGCUUGUCAAGCUCCAGGCACAUUCAACUUCAAGUUGUUCUUUGCACAAGUGGGACUGACCGGCAAGUCAGAGGCAGAGGGCCAACGGGUGUUCAGAGUUCUGGACCAAGACCAGAGUGGAUACAUAGAGGAAGAGGAGCUGAAAUUAUUCCUGCAGAACUUCUCCUCAGGGGCCAGGGAGCUAACUGAUGCUGAGACCAGAACUCUCCUAGCAGCAGGAGACAGAGACGGGGAUGGAAAGAUAGGGAUGGAAGAUGAUAGGGGAUAUUGCAUCUGAAGGAAGGAAGGAAUGCUGCAAAGGCAUAGUGGAAGAAACUGUAAAUAAAUGCAAGCUUUUUCAACAGUUCUGCGCUUUGCUGAAAUGAAGCUUUCACUCCUCAUCAGGGCUGUCUCUUUUUUUUCUUUCUUUUGGUACUUUUUACAACGUCUGGAACCCAAAACGCCCAGAUUCAGCAAGUCUGGAGGGAAAUGCCCACCUCAGCGACUCUAUUUACAUGCCUGCUGGUCCUCUCCCCGGUUGAUGGUGCAUCUUGGCACAUAAGUUCGUAGCUGUGGCUUUUAGUUGUAUAAGUCAGUGUCAGUCUAUCCAUUGGGUAACUGGUAUGGUUUAAUAAAUGAUGUAAAACGUA